rnacentral:rRNA from 1 species
UACAGAGGGUGCGAGCGUUAAUCGGAAUUACUGGGCGUAAAGCGUGCGUAGACGGUCAAGUAAGUCGGGUGUGAAAGCCCCGGGCUCAACCUGGGAACUGCAUCUGUGACUGCAUAGCUAGAGUACGGUAGAGGGGGAUGGAAUUCCGCGUGUAGCAGUGAAAUGCGUAGAUAUGCGGAGGAACACCGAUGGCGAAGGCAAUCCCCUGGACCUGUACUGACGCUCAUGCACGAAAGCGUGGGGAGCAAACGAGG